rnacentral:rRNA from 1 species
GAUGAACGCUGGCGGCGUGCCUCAAACAUGCAAGUCGAGCGGGGCUAUGUAAUAUCGCAAGGUAGAACAUAGCCUAGCGGCGAACGGGUGAAUAACACGUGGGUAACCUGCCUGGAAGACAGGGAUAACGAUUCGAAAGGGUCGCUAAUACCUGAUAAUAUCCUUUCAUCGCAUGGUGAUAGGAAGAAAGGGGAAACCCGCUUUCAGAUGGGCCCGCGUCCCAUCAGCUAGUUGGUAAGGUAAAGGCUUACCAAGGCGACGACGGGUAGCCGGUCUGAGAGGAUGUACGGCCACACUGGGACUGAGAUACGGCCCAGACUCCUACGGGAGGCAGCAGUUGGGAAUCUUAGGCAAUGGACGAAAGUCUGACCUAGCGACGCCGCGUGAGGGAAGAAGGCCUUCGGGGUUGUAAACCUCUGUCAUGGGGGAAAGUAAGUGACGGUACCCAAGAGGAAGCCCCUGCUAACUACGUGCCAGCAGCCGCGGUAACUACCACAUAGUAGU